rnacentral:tRNA from 1 species
GGUCGCGUAGCUCAGUUGGUUAGAGCAUUACAUUCACAUUGUAGGGGUCACAGGUUCGAGUCCUGUCGCGACCACCA